rnacentral:rRNA from 1 species
GGGGGGGGGGGGGGGGGGGCCGGGCGCGGGCGGGGCGGGGGGGCUCGUCGGGGUUGGGGGCGGGCGGGGGGGGGACACGUGGGAACGUGCCGGUUGGGUCGGAAGAACUCAGGGAAACUUGUGCUAAUACCGAAUGUGCCCUUCGGGGGAAAGAUUUAUCGCCAUUAGAGCGGCCCGCGUCUGAUUAGCUAGGUGGUGAGGUAACGGCUCACCAAGGCGACGAUCAGUAGCUGGUCUGAGAGGAUGACCAGCCACACUGGGACUGAGACACGGCCCAGACUCCUACGGGAGGCAGCAGUGGGGAAUCUUGCGCAAUGGGCGAAAGCCUGACGCAGCCAUGCCGGGUGAAUGAUGAAGGUCUUAGGAUUGUAAAAUUCUUUCACCGGGGACGAUAAUGACGGUACCCGGAGAAGAAGCCCCGGCUAACUUCGUG